rfam:Schistosoma curassoni strain Dakar, Senegal genome assembly, scaffold: SCTD_scaffold0002489
AUUCAGCUGACGAGUCUCAAGUAUGACGAAACGCGCGUCCUAGAU